GACGAACGCUGGCGGCGUGCCUAAUACAUGCAAGUUGAGCGCUGAAGGUUGGUACUUGUACCAACUGGAUGAGCAGCGCACGGGUGAGUAACGCGUGGGGAAUCUGCCUUUGAGCGGGGGACAACCUUGGGAAACGAAUGCUAAUACCGCAUAAAAACUUUAAACACAAGUUUUAAGUUUGAAAGAUGCAAUUGCAUCACUCAAAGAUGAUCCCGCGUUGUAUUAGCUAGUUGGUGAGGUAAAGGCUCACCAAGGCGGUGAUACAUAGCCGACCUGAGAGGGUGAGCGGCCGGAUUGGGACGGAGACACGGCCCAAACUCCUACGGGAGGCAGCAGUAGGGAAUCUUCGGCAAGGGACGAAAGGCUGACCGAGCAACGCCGCGUGAGUGAAGAAGGUUUUCGGAUCGGAAAACUCUGUUGGUAGAGAAGAACGUUGGUGAGAGUGGAAAGCUCAUCAAGUGACGGUAACUACCCAGAAAGGGACGGCUAACUACGUG
rnacentral:rRNA from 1 species